UGGGGAAUUUUCCGCAGUGGGCGAAAGCCUGACGGAGCAAUGCCGCGUGGAGGUGGAAGGCCUACGGGUCGUCAACUUCUUUUCUCGGAGAAGAAACAAUGACGGUAUCUGAGGAAUAAGCAUCGGCUAACUCUGUGGCAG
rnacentral:rRNA from 1 species